UGACCGAUAGUGAACCAGUACCGUGAGGGAAAGGCGAAAAGAACCCCGGCGAGGGGAGUGAAAAAGAACCUGAAACCGUGUACGUACAAGCAGUGGGAGCCCCACCACUAAGCCAGUGGUGAACUCCACAUACGCAUCCUUUGCUGAGGAUACGGUUAACGGAGCGAAAGCGACGUUCAACCUCAAAAGAAGCAGAGGGGGCUUAGUGGUGGGGUGACUGCGUACCUUUUGUAUAAUGGGUCAGCGACUUAUAUUCUGUAGCAAGGUUAACCGUAUAGGGGAGCCGGAGGGAAACCGAGUCUUAACCGGGCGUUAAGUUGCAGGGUAUAGACCCGAAACCCGGUGAUCUAGCCAUGGGCAGGUUGAAGGUUGGGUAACACUAACUGGAGGACCGAACCGACUAAUGUUGAAAAAUUAGCGGAUGACCUGUGGCUGGGGGUGAAAGGCCAAUCAAACCGGGAGAUAGCUGGUUCUCCCCGAAAGCUAUUUAGGUAGCGCCUCGUGAAUUCAUCUCCGGGGGUAGAGCACUGUUUCGGCUAGGGGGCCAUCCCGGCUUACCAACCCGAUGCAAACUGCGAAUACCGGAGAAUGUUAUCACGGGAGACACACGGCGGGUGCUAACGUCCGUCGUGAAGAGGGAAACAACCCAGACCGCCAGCUAAGGUCCCAAAGUCAUGGUUAAGUGGGAAACGAUGUGGGAAGGCCCAGACAGCCAGGAUGUUGGCUUAGAAGCAGCCAUCAUUUAAAGAAAGCGUAAUAGCUCACUGGUCGAGUCGGCCUGCGCGGAAGAUGUAACGGGGCUAAACCAU
rnacentral:rRNA from 1 species